UACGGAGGAGGCAAGCGUUAUCCGGAAUUAUUGGGCGUAAAGCGUCCGCAGGUGGCUAUUCAAGUCUGCGGUCAAAGACUGGGGCUUAACCCUGGAAAGGCCGUGGAAACUGAAGAGCUAGAGUGCAGUAGGGGUAGAGGGAAUUCCCGGUGUAGCGGUGAAAUGCGUAGAGCUCGGGAAGAACAUCGGUGGCGAAAGCGCUCUGCUGGACUGCAACUGACACUCAGGGACGAAAGCUAGGGGAGCGAGUGGG
rnacentral:rRNA from 1 species